rnacentral:rRNA from 1 species
UGGCGGCAGGCCUAACACAUGCAAGUCGAGCGGUAACAUUUCUAGCUUGCUAGAAGAUGACGAGCGGCGGACGGGUGAGUAACGCGUAGAAAUCUACCUAGUAGUGGGGGAUAGCCCAGAGAAAUUUGGAUUAAUACCGCAUACGCCCUACGGGGGAAAGCGGGGGAUCUUCGGACCUCGUGCUAUUAGAUGAGUCUGCGUCGGAUUAGCUUGUUGGUGAGGUAAUGGCUCACCAAGGCGACGAUCCGUAGCUGGUCUGAGAGGAUGACCAGCCACACUGGAACUGAGACACGGUCCAGACUCCUACGGGAGGCAGCAGUGGGGAAUAUUGCACAAUGGGCGCAAGCCUGAUGCAGCCAUGCCGCGUGUGUGAAGAAGGCUUUAGGGUUGUAAAGCACUUUCAGCAGUGAGGAAAGGGGUGUCGUUAAUAGCGCCAUCCUGUGACGUUAACUGCAGAAGAAGGACCGGCUAACUCCGUG